rnacentral:rRNA from 1 species
ACGAACCGUCCAAACGUUAUUCGGUAUCACUGGGCUUAAAGAGUUCGUAGGCGGCUAUGUAGGUCAGAUGUGAAAUCCCACGGCUCAACCGUGGAACUGCGUUUGAAACCACAUAGCUUGAGGGAGAUAGGGGUGAGCGGAACAGAUGGUGGAGCGGUGAAAUGCGUUGAUAUCAUCUGGAACACCGGUGGCGAAAGCGGCUCACUGGAUCUCUUCUGACGCUGAGGAACGAAAGCUAGGGUAGCGAACGGG